UCUAUGUUUUAUUUGUUGACUGUAGUUCGAGCUUCUUAAAGGGAAUUUUGUCUUGCAGACGUACGGAUGAUGUUGUAUUUGUUUAGUCUAUUGCAAAAAAAGUUAUAUUUAUUUGCAAGUUUGGUGCAUAUGUCAUAGAAAUGGUUGCUUCCUAGACAAAAGGAUUAUGCACAGACAUUGAUCAAAGACAUUUUCAUAGUCACAAUGAUUAUGAUGCAUCUGAGCAUGUCAGACUAGAGGAAAAACAUUAAGCAGCUUGGAGCGUAAUUGAUGUUGGGACUGAUAAUGAUUUAGGGAGGCUGAACCAUCGUUGGAUAUGUAAAGAAUGGGUUGGCGGCGUUAAAUUUUAGUCUUUUAUACAAUCUGGUCUUAAGCAUCCAAAUUGAUGUUUGGGUUAGUACAUCAGAUGCAUAAGAUUUUGAAGGUGAUGGUCUGCAAAGUCAGCCUACGUAAUAAUCAAGAGCAUUCCCUUCAGGUUGGUCAGAGACUGUCCACCAUUUUUUAAUUAGAUUCUAGAUGGCAGCAACCACAGAAUAAUGACCGAGAAGAGGUGGUUUUCUGUUUCUUCAGCAAUGUUACAAACUGGACCAUAUGAUAAAGGUGUAUCAAUGUUUCCAAGGGUUAGAUAAUGGUGGUUGGUAUGGAGUUAACAACACAUCUCAAGGUGAUAAUGUUAAGUUUAGUUGGUGCAAUUUUAUUCCAUCUAAGAAGUUUUGGGGUAGAUUGUGGUGGUGGGCAGGCUGUUCAAAGCACAUAUUAACACAAUUUUUUUUAUAUAACUACAUUUACAAGUAGUGAUUUAAGCAAUGAAAACACUGCCUUCAGGUUCAUCAAAAGUGGUUAAAUAUGAUGAUCGAGAUCUGUUUUAA